rnacentral:rRNA from 1 species
AUCUGGUUGAUCCUGCCAGGGGCGACCGCUAUUGGAGUUCGAUUAAGCCAUGCGAGUCGAGAGUCUUAGGGACUCGGCAUACUGCUCAGUAACACGUGGAUAACCUGCCCUGUGCUGGAGGAUAACCUCGGGAAACUGAGAAUAAUACUCCAUAGACCACUAUGCCUGGAAUGGUUUGUGGUUCAAAGCUCCGGCGGCACAGGAUGGGUCCGCGGCGUAUCAGGUUGUAGGGGGUGUAAAGGACCCUCUAGCCAUUGACGCGUACGGGUUGUGGGAGCAAUCGCCCGGAGAUGGAUUCUGAGACACGAAUCCAGACCCUACGGGGUGCAGCAGGCGCGGAAACUUCACACUGCGGGAAACCGUGAUGAGGGAACUCCAAGUGUUUGCACUAUGUGCAAUCUUUUCUUGACUUUUAAUAGGUCUUGGUAAUAAGGGGUGGGAAAGACCGGUGCCAGCCGCCGCGGUAAUACCGGCACCCCAAGUGGUCGUCGCUUUUAUUGGGCCUAAAA